UACGGAGGGUGCGAGCGUUGUCCGGAUUUAUUGGGUUUAAAGGGUGCGUAGGUGGCUAAUUAAGUCAGUGGUGAAAUACGGUUGCUCAACAAUCGAGGUGCCAUUGAUACUGACUAGCUUGAAAUAAUUGGAGGCUGCCGGAAUGGAUGGUGUAGCGGUGAAAUGCAUAGAUAUCAUCCAGAACACCGAUUGCGAAGGCAGGUGGCUACGAUUUGUUUGACACUGAGGCACGAAAGCAUGGGGAGCAAACAGG
rnacentral:rRNA from 1 species